ACNUGCAGUCGAGCGGACAGAUGGGAGCUUGCUCCCUGAUGUUAGCGGCGGACGGGUGAGUAACACGUGGGUAACCUGCCUGUAAGACUGGGAUAACUCCGGGAAACCGGGGCUAAUACCGGAUGGUUGUUUGAACCGCAUGGUUCAAACAUAAAAGGUGGCUUCGGCUACCACUUACAGAUGGACCCGCGGCGCAUUAGCUAGUUGGUGAGGUAANGGCUCACCAAGGCAACGAUGCGUAGCCGACCUGAGAGGGUGAUCGGCCACACUGGGACUGAGACACGGCCCAGACUCCUACGGGAGGCAGCAGUAGGGAAUCUUCCGCAAUGGACGAAAGUCUGACGGAGCAACGCCGCGUGAGUGAUGAAGGUUUUCGGAUCGUAAAGCUCUGUUGUUAGGGAAGAACAAGUACCGUUCGAAUAGGGCGGUACCUUGACGGUACCUAACCAGAAAGCCACGGCUAACUACGUGCCAGCAGCCGCGGUAAUACGUAGGUGGCAAGCGUUGUCCGGAAUUAUUGGGCGUAAAGGGCUCGCAGGCGGUUUCUUAAGUCUGAUGUGAAAGCCCCCGGCUCAACCGGGGAGGGUCAUUGGAAACUGGGGAACUUGAGUGCANAAGAGGANAGUGGAAUUCCACGUGUANCGGUGAAAUGCGUAGAGAUGUGGANGNAACACCAGUGGCNAAGGCGACUCUCUGGUCUNGUAACUGACNCUGAGGNANCGAAAGCGUGG
rnacentral:rRNA from 1 species